rnacentral:rRNA from 1 species
GACGAACGCUGGCGGCGUGCUUAACACAUGCAAGUCGAACGGAAAGGCCCUGCUUUUGUGGGGUGCUCGAGUGGCGAACGGGUGAGUAACACGUGAGUAACCUGCCCUUGACUUUGGGAUAACUUCAUGAAACUGGGGCUAAUACCGGAUAGGAGCUCCUGCUGCAUGGUGGGGGUUGGAAAGUUUCGGCGGUUGGGGAUGGACUCGCGGCUUAUCAGCUUGUUGGUGGGGUAGUGGCUUACCAAGGCUUUGACGGGUAGCCGGCCUGAGAGGGUGACCGGCCACAUUGGGACUGAGAUACGGCCCAGACUCCUACGGGAGGCAGCAGUGGGGAAUAUUGCACAAUGGGCGGAAGCCUGAUGCAGCAACGCCGCGUGCGGGAUGACGGCCUUCGGGUUGUAAACCGCUUUCGCCUGUGACGAAGCGUGAGUGACGGUAAUGGGUAAAGAAGCACCGGCUAACUACGUG